GUGAAUGGACCUCAAUCUCGCGCGGCUCGGCGCACUUGAAAUUCAACACGUACACUUUUCAUUUUCAUGCAGCGCCGUGAGUAUUAAUCACAUUAAAGCGCGAAUGUGAAGCCGACCAUCGCAUGUAUCUUAUCGCAUCCAACAGACGCCUCGACAGCACGAUUGAAAUGCCGAUUCCUACCUUGAGCAGUAAGAAGACUAAGAUAAACGCCGGCCGAGGAAAUAGGUCUGUCCAGCCAGAAGCUAAAGACAUCACAUGUUUGCAAAAUGGACCAGUAACCACGUGAAUCGGCACAAACGUGACACGACGAGACCGUCGCAUGACCUAUCCAGAUUUACAAUAAGGCAGCAUCUCCGUUACUGCGGUCGUUAGUAUUAAAUUUCCUGCUUCUACCA